UACGGAGGGUGCAAGCGUUAUCCGGAUUUACUGGGUUUAAAGGGUGUGUAGGCGGGUCUUUAAGUCAGUGGUGAAAUCUCCGGGCUCAACCUGGAAACUGCCAUUGAUACUAAAGGUCUUGAAUUCUGUUGAGGUGGGCGGAAUAAGUCAUGUAGCGGUGAAAUGCAUAGAUAUGACUUAGAACACCAAUUGCGAAGGCAGCUCGCUAAGCAGAUAUUGACGCUGAGGCACGAAAGCGUGGGGAUCAAACAGG
rnacentral:rRNA from 1 species